rnacentral:piRNA from 1 species
UCAAGUUAUACUUCUCUUUGAAAAUGUCUU